rnacentral:rRNA from 1 species
GCAGCGAUGCCGCGUGAGUGAAGAAGGCCCUUGGGUUGUAAAGCUCUUUCGUCGGGGAAGAAAAUGACUGUACCCGAAUAAGAAGGUCCGGCUAACUUCGUGCCAGCAGCCGCGGUAAUACGAAGGGACCUAGCGUAGUUCGGAAUUACUGGGCUUAAAGAGUUCGUAGGUGGUUAAAAAAGUUGGUGGUGAAAUCCCAGAGCUUAACUCUGGAACUGCCAUCAAAACUUUUUAGCUAGAGUAUGAUAGAGGAAAGCAGAAUUUCUAGUGUAGAGGUGAAAUUCGUAGAUAUUAGAAAGAAUACCAAUUGCGAAGGCAACUUUCUGGAUCAUUACUGACACUGAGGAACGAAAGCAUGGGUAGCGAAGAGGAUUAGAUACCCUCGUAGUCCAUGCCGUAAACGAUGUGUGUUAGACGUUGGAAAUUUAUUUUCAGUGUCGCAGCGAAAGCAAUAAACACACCGCCUGGGGAGUACGACCGC